GGAGGAGUCAAUGUCCUAGAGCUUGGGGCGAAGUGUGUAGGUCGACACCGAGGAGGAUAGCGCUGACCUCGUGUGUCUCGUCCUUCCCGUGCAUUUCCCGGGAGAUUCGUGCUGAGACUCUCGUGGACCAUAUAUGACAAGUAGGUGUGAAAUUUAGAAAGGAGAAACAAAAUUUACAGGGUAUCAUGUUUUUAUUACUAUUCUUUUUUAAAGGAUUUUAUUUACCAUUUAGUAUUCAGAUUUGGCUUAUAUAAUCGUGAGCCCUGUACAACGGCCUGCCAAGACUCCUCGUGAGUCAGUUUCCUACCCCGGUCCUGCACAACCGCCAAAGAGAAGAGACAGACCCGAGAGACAAACAUAUAAAGCCUCUUGAUCAAUACAGAGACUGAUUAAUCUUAGAGGGGCAAAAGGACCAAUUCCCCGCGCACAGCGUGGCGUCUCGGAGGCAUCGGCCGGAGAUGAAAUCGCCAUUGCGGAGGCUCCGGGGCUUCGGCCACCACUACCCCAAGGAGCGGAAGGCGCACCCUCCGCCGCCCACCAAGCUCGACGAGCUCGCGGAAGCUGCCCAGGAUGUGGAACAAAUGAGGAAGUGUUAUGACGGCUUGCUUUCAGCCGCAGCCGCUACAACAAAUAGCGUAUAUGAGUUUUCGGAGGCUUUGGAGGAAAUGGGAAGUUGCUUACUUGCAAAAAAUGCACUAAAUGAUGAGGAUGAUGAUAGUGGCAGAGUGCUGAUGAUGCUUGGAAAAGCCCAAUUUGAACUAACAAAGUCUCUGGAUAACUAUCGUACACAUAUCAUUCAUACAAUCACAACCCCGUCGGAAUCCCUUCUCAAGGAGCUACAAACCGUAGAGGAAAUGAAGCACCAAUGCGACACGAAAAGGGAGGCGUACGAAGUCAUGAGGGCAUCUUACAGACAAAAAGGACAGUCAAGGAAUUCAAAAGUCGAAUCGUCUUCCGCAGAACAACUGCAAGAUUCACUGGUUGAGUACCAAGAGGAUGCAGCGUUGUUCAUAUUUCGCUUGAAAUCGCUGAAGCAGGGGCAAUUCCAUAGUCUUUUAACACAGGCUGCUCGCCAUCAUGCUUCUCAGCUAAUUUUUUUCAGGAGAGGACUCAAGUGCCUUGAGGCACUUGAACCCCAUGUAAAAGCAAUAGCUGAGAAACAGCACAUUGACUAUCAAUUGACCGGCCUUGAGGAUAAUGAAUCUGACAACGAUGGCUCCAGCUCUUACCAAGAGACUUGUAGUGAUGACAGAGAACUGAGUUUCGACUAUGAAAUAAAUGAUAGAGACCAAGAUUUUAUCGCUUCGAGAGGUUCAAUGGAUUUGGAUAAAGGAGACCUGAAGACUUCUCCAACGGCAAUAAAAGAGAUCAAGCAGGAAGAGGCGGAGCUACUGAAGGCAGAAGCAGUAGCUCCACAAGUGAAGCCUGAGAUCAUCACACAUUCAGCUCCAAUGUUUGCUGAUAAUUUUGUCGAUCAAACAGAGAGGCUUCGGCAAAUCCAGCCAUCUUCAGCCCGGCACUCAUACAAACUCCCAACACCAGUGGAUGAUGACUAUCCCAGACCAGCAGCUGUUCACAGGUCACAUCAUUCUGCGCAUUUUUUCGAAAGUAAACAUGGCGCUGCAGCCAACUUGUGGCAUUCAUCUCCACCGGCGAAAGAUUACAAGGCGUGCACCAUGCAUAGUGGUCCCAUUAAACUGCCAUCAAACUCUGACUUUAGUAAGAAGUUAAAGAGAGAGUCCUGGUCUGGUCCGAUUCCAAGCAAAGCAGGAUCAAGCAAGCCUGAUCCCAAGUCAUCCAUAGGCCGUCCUCAUGCGAUGAUAUCCAAGUUGUGUGUUCAUGCUAGGCAGCCGUCACCAGUUUCACCCAAGAUGUUCCCACCUUCAAUAGAAUCCCCCAAAAUCAGUGAGCUUCAUGAGCUGCCUAGGCCUCCAGCCAAUGUUGAUCCCCUCCGGCCUUGUGGUCUAGUUGGCUACUCCGGUCCUUUGGUAUCAAAGCGCCAAGCUCCUACGGCACCUGUCCGUGCCUCACCAACAGCGUCGCAGACAGCCUCGCCGCUUCCGCGGCCACCUGCUUCCUUGGCUCGCAGUUUCUCCAUACCCUCAAACAGCCAGAGAACACCCCUCAUUACAGUCAAUAAGUUGCUUGAGGCCAGAAGUAGCAGAGAGAGCAGUGAAAUUUCCUCCCCACCACUCACUCCGUUGUUUUCUUCUACCAGUCAACACAAAAAACAACUACAGGCAGCACUCGGAGAAAAGGGUAUGUUAUAGAUCAUGUCUUCCCAUUACACCUAAGCUGCAUCCAGUCUUGCUAUUGCAGCGGUAGUCGCAGAUGAUUUAACAAUAGCUUAUCUAACAACCAUUAUCUAUUGUUGCACUGCAGAAUCCUUGUGACAACUACCUGCCAAUUGUGUAUCGCUCUUAGACAAUUUUGAUGUAAUUAGUGGUGUAUUUUAGGUUCUUGUUCAUAAUAUUCUAUCACUUAAGCGUUUGUCUUGUGAAAUGAAAGAAAUAAUACCGUGAAGCAAUUUACUAUGGUUAUGUAUGGUGGCAGUUCUUU
rnacentral:rRNA from 1 species